rnacentral:lncRNA from 12 species
AUUAUUCUGUCAGACUUGACAAUGUCGUCAAGUGCUCUGGUGUCUCGCAGCCAAAGUGUCCUUCCCUUGUUCGUGGGUAAAGGCAGAAAUGUCACCUUUGUUUUGGACUCCUCUGUGGGAAUGAAUGGCUUUCUGGGACCAGUGAAGAAUCUUAUUAUUCAAACCUUGAUUACUAAAGCUUCACUUAGAGACUCGCUCUUCAACAUUAUCAGCUUUUCAUACAAGUCUACACCAUGGUCUUCUCACAUGAUGCCCUGCACACCUGAUGUAGUCUAUGAAGCCUUGAGCUGGAUCCACACAUUACAGACAAGUCCUGGCAGAGACCUCCACUCAGCACUGGCCUUAGCUUUCUCUGACCCUGCCUGUCAGUCUGUCCAUUUGGUGACCAGCGGUCUCCCAGACAACCCAUCACAAUGUCUGGCUUCAUUAUCAACCCUGGUGAUGCGCCCUGUGAAUACAUUUUACAUAUCAGACAAGACUCCCAUGAACACUGACAUUUCAGACUUCCUGCAGUGCAUCACUUCCACCACUAGAGGAAGCUGUUAUGUCAUGACGCUCAACUCAGCUGGCAAUGUGGACCAGGUAAGAUGUUGAAUGGUGUCCGCCACUUAUACUCUUCAUCCAUUGUUAGCUAGUCAGAUUUUUGUUUUAAUGUUUUAAAAUAUCAAACAGCUCAGUUUGUUGCAUUCAACGGAUGACCUGUUUCAAAACCCGUCACACUCAGAGGACCCAUGGCGUUCAGUAGACUUCAAUCAGGUCCAAUACUACAACUGCACAAGCUGUGUCUGUCCUGUACCAAGCUGGUAUGUUCUUUAAUUUAGUUUUUAAUCGGAAAGAAUGAAAGACAGACAAAACACAACAAAUAAUCAUAUUGUGAGAUG